UCUCCUUCUUAUUCUUCCCCUUCUCUUGUUUCUUAUCCUGUUUCUUCUUCUCCUUAGCUUAUUUUCCCAACAAAGACAUACUUAGCUAAUUAUCUGUGACAGCCCAAGACCGGAGCUCCAGAAGAAUCCCCUUUUAUUCCAUUGGUCGUCGUGGGAUUAGAUUGUUUGUCGCAUUCAUCAUAGCAUCAUGUACAUCAUCUUCAUUGCAUCGGCACUCCGUUGCCACCAGUUUUCAAAACGUGCAUCCGUUAUUAGUUG
rnacentral:lncRNA from 1 species